rnacentral:rRNA from 1 species
UACGAAGGGGGCUAGCGUUGUUCGGAAUUACUGGGCGUAAAGCGCACGUAGGCGGACUAUUAAGUCAGGGGUGAAAUCCCGGAGCUCAACUCCGGAACUGCCUUUGAUACUAGUAGCCUAGAGAUCGGAAGAGGUGAGUGGAAUUCCCAGUGUAGAGGUGAAAUUCGUAGAUAUUAGGAAGAACACCGGUGGCGAAGGCGGCCUGCUGGGCAGUUUGGCUGACACUGAGGCGCGACAGCGUGGGGAGCAAACAGG